rnacentral:rRNA from 1 species
UACGAAGGGGGCGAGCGUUGUUCGGAAUUACUGGGCGUAAAGCGCGCGCAGGCGGUCUUCCAAGUCAGUGGUGAAAGCCCGGAGCUCAACUCCGGAACUGCCAUUGAAACUGUGAGACUUGAGGACGAGAGAGGUGAGUGGAAUUCCCAGUGUAGAGGUGAAAUUCGUAGAUAUUGGGAAGAACACCGGUGGCGAAGGCGGCUCACUGGCUCGUAUCUGACGCUCAGGCGCGACAGCGUGGGGAUCAAACAGG